GGCUUACACAUGCAGUCGAGCGGGGAAAGGUAGCUUGCUACCUUACCUAGCGGCGGACGGGUGUGUAAUGCUUAGGAAUCUGCCUAUUAGUGGGGGACAACAUUUCGAAAGGAAUGCUAAUACCGCAUACGCCCUACGGGGGAAAGCAGGGGACCUUCGGGCCUUGCGCUAAUAGAUGAGCCUAAGUCGGAUUAGCUAGUUGGUGGGGUAAAGGCCUACCAAGGCGACGAUCUGUAGCGGGUCUGAGAGGAUGAUCCGCCACACUGGGACUGAGACACGGCCCAGACUCCUACGGGAGGCAGCAGUGGGGAAUAUUGGACAAUGGGGGGAACCCUGAUCCAGCCAUGCCGCGUGUGUGAAGAAGGCCUUUUGGUUGUAAAGCACUUUAAGCGAGGAGGAGGCUCCCUAGAUUAAUACUCUAGGAGAGUGGACGUUACUCGCAGAAUAAGCACCGGCUAACUCUGUGCCAGCAGCCGCGGUAAUACAGAGGGUGCAAGCGUUAAUCGGAUUUACCGGGCGUAAAGCGUGCGUAGGUGGCCAAUUAAGUCAAAUGUGAAAUCCCCGAGCUUAACUUGGGAAUUGCAUUCGAUACUGGUUGGCUAGAGUAUGGGAGAGGAUGGUAGAAUUCCAGGUGUAGCGGUGAAAUGCGUAGAGAUCUGGAGGAAUACCGAUGGCGAAGGCAGCCAUCUGGCCUAAUACUGACACUGAGGUACGAAAGCAUGGGGAGCAAACAGGAUUAGAUACCCUGGUAGUCCAUGCCGUAAACGAUGUCUACUAGCCGUUGGGGUCUUUGAGACUUUAGUGGCGCAGCUAACGCGAUAAGUAGACCGCCUGGGGAGUACGGUCGCAAGACUAAAACUCAAAUGAAUUGACGGGGGCCCGCACAAGCGGUGGAGCAUGUGGUUUAAUUCGAUGCAACGCGAGACCUUACCUGGUCUUGA
rnacentral:rRNA from 1 species